AGUGAACGCUGGCGGCAGGCCUAACACAUGCAAGUCGAGCGGCAGCGGGUUCCCGCGAGGGGAUGCCGGCGAGCGGCGGACGGGUGAGGAACACAUCGGAAUCUGCCUGGUUGUGGGGGAUAACGUAGGGAAACUUACGCUAAUACCGCAUGCGACCCUGAGUCGACGGACUGGGGGGUGAAAGUGAGGGACCUUCGGGCCUCACGCGACCAGAUGAGCCGAUGUCGGAUUAGCUAGUUGGCGGGGUAACGGCCCGCCAAGGCGACGAUCCGUAGCUGGUCUGAGAGGAUGAUCAGCCACACUGGGACUGAGACACGGCCCAGACUCCUACGGGGAGGCAGCAGUGGGGAAUCUUGGACAAUGGGCGCAAGCCUGAUCC
rnacentral:rRNA from 1 species